rnacentral:rRNA from 1 species
GACACCGUAACUUCGGAAGAAGGUGUGCCUUUAGUAGGUGAUCCAUUUACUUGGUGAGCCCAAUGAGGCCGCAGAGAAUCGGUGGCUGCAACUGUUUAUUAAAAACACAGCACUCUGCAAAGACGAAAGUCGACGUAUAGGGUGUGACGCCUGCCCGGUGCUGGAAGAUUAAAUGAUGGGGUGCAAGCUCUUGACUGAAGUCCCAGUAAACGGCGGCCGUAACAAUAACGGUCCUAAGGUAGCGAAAUUCCUUGUCGGGUAAGUUCCGACCUGCACGAAUGGCGUAAUGAUGGCCACACUGUCUCCUCCAGAGACUCAGCGAAGUUGAAAUGUUUGUGAUGAUGCAAUCUCCCCGCGGAAAGACGGAAAGACCCCAUGAACCUUUACUGUAGCUUUACAUUGGACUUUGAACAGAUCUGUGUAGGAUAGGUGGGAGGCUUUGAAGCGGUGCCGCUAGGUGUCGUGGAGCCAACGUUGAAAUACCACCCUGGUGUGUUUGAGGUUCUAACCUUGGCCCGUUAUCCGGGUUGGGGACAGUGUAUGGUGGGCAGUUUGACUGGGGCGGUCUCCUCCCAAAGCGUAACGGAGGAGUUCGAAGGUACGCUAGCCACGGUCGGAAAUCGUGGUGAUAGUGCAUUGGCAUAAGCGUGCUUGACUGCGAGACUGACAAGUCGAGCAGGUACGAAAGUAGGACAAAGUGAUCCGGUGGUUCUGUAUGGAAGGGCCAUCGCUCAACGGAUAAAAGGUACUCUGGGGAUAACAGGCUGAUACCGCCCAAGAGUUCAUAUCGACGGCGGUGUUUGGCACCUCGAUGUCGGCUCAUCUCAUCCUGGGGCUGUAGCCGGUCCCAAGGGUAUGGCUGUUCGCCAUUUAAAGAGGUACGUGAGCUGGGUUUAAAACGUCGUGAGACAGUUUGGUCCCUAUCUUCCGUGGGCGCUGCAAGAUUGAGAGAGCCUGCUCCUAGUACGAGAGGACCGGAGUGGACGCACCUCUGGUGUAUCGGUUGUCACGCCAGUGGCAUUGCCGAGUAGCUAAGUGCGGAAGAGAUAACCGCUGAAAGCAUCUAAGCGGGAAACUCGUCUCAAGAUGAGUCUUGCCGGGGCCUUGAGCCCCCUGAAGGGUCGUUCGAGACCAGGACGUUGAUAGGCUGGGUGUGGAAGCGCAGUAAUGCGUUAAGCUAACCAGUACUAAUUGCCCGUGAGGCUUGACCG